GUCCCCGUCGAUUAGUGGUUAGAUCAUCACGUUGUGGUUGCGAAAACAUCGUGGAUUUAGCAACCGUGAAGACGCAGGCUCGACUCCUGCCAGGGACA